rnacentral:rRNA from 1 species
UGUGUAGGCGGUCCUCUAAGUUUGGUGUGAAAUCUCCCGGCUCAACUGGGAGGGUGCGCCGAAAACUGGAGGGCUAGAGUCGCGGGAUGGGAAAGUGGAAUUCCUGGUGUAGCGGUGAAAUGCGUAGAUAUCAGGAGGAACACCUGUGGUGUAGACGGCUUUCUGGACCGCAACUGACGCUGAGACACGAAAGCGUGGGUAGCAAACA